CAGAGAAUAGUUUAAUAAAAAUAUUAGUUUUGGGGAUUAAUGAUGGGAGGUGAUCUCUUUUCUCUGA
rnacentral:tRNA from 1 species